GUGCUUGCUUCAGCACCACAUAUACUAAAAAUCGGAAUGAUACAGAGAAGAUUAGCAUGGCCCCUGCGCAAAGGUGAUACUCAAAUUCUUGAAGCGUUCCAUAUUUUU
ensembl:snRNA U6 U6 spliceosomal RNA